GCGAUGGUUGAUUUUCCAUGCUCGUCGAUAUUGUAAAGACAAGACGAAAUAAUAAUGUGUACAAGGUGAAGGAUAAACGCAGUGAACGAUCCAGAGAAUUUCAGUACCCCUACUGGUCGGUGAUAAAAUUGUUUUACGACAAUGUGCUAAUGAAACAGAUACGAAAGAAUAUGAGGUUACAUUUUCGGUGAGCCUCAUCUGACUGUUUGAGAAUAGAACCUCCAGAAUUCAUAAUUCAAGACGGGUACGAAAUGAUCCUUCAGAUUGUCUGGGAUUUUGGAAAUGGCAUAAGUCAGAAAUUUUGGAAAAUAUGUGUUCACUUUGGAAACUCCGAUACUUACGGAGAAGCGAAAACAGCCGUGACCAAAAUUUUCAAAAACUCGCCAAUUUCCGACGGUCCAUACGGUUCGGACAAUUUACACAUCGAAGUCAAUUAAAGUUUGAGUUUCAUAAUUCGUACGGUAAAAUAAAUCCACCAUUACCCCGGUUGCCCCAUCG
rnacentral:lncRNA from 1 species